rnacentral:rRNA from 1 species
UAGAGUUUGAUCCUGGCUCAGGAUGAACGCUAGCGACAGGCUUAACACAUGCAAGUCGAGGGGCAGCGGGGAGGUAGCAAUACUUCCGCCGGCGACCGGCGCACGGGUGAGUAACACGUAUGGAACCUGCCCGUAGCAGGGGGAUAAGCGGAAGAAAUUCCGUCUAAUACCGCGUAAUAACUCCGAGAGGCAUCUCCUGGGGUUUAAAGGGUAACACCGGCUACGGAUGGCCAUGCGGCGCAUUAGCUAGUUGGCGGGGUAACGGCCCACCAAGGCGACGAUGCGUAGGGGUUCUGAGAGGAAGGUCCCCCACACUGGUACUGAGACACGGACCAGACUCCUACGGGAGGCAGCAGUGAGGAAUAUUGGUCAAUGGGCGCGAGCCUGAACCAGCCAAGUCGCGUGAGGGAAGACGGUCCUAUGGAUUGUAAACCUCUUUUGUCGGGGAGCAAAAGACGCCACGCGUGGCGUUCCGAGAGUACCCGAAGAAAAAGCAUCGGCUAACUCCGUGCCAGCAGCCGCGGUAAUACGGAGGAUGCGAGCGUUAUCCGGAUUUAUUGGGUUUAAAGGGUGCGCAGGCGGAAGAUCAAGUCAGCGGUAAAAUUGAGAGGCUCAACCUCUUCGAGCCGUUGAAACUGGUUUUCUUGAGUGAGCGAGAAGUAUGCGGAAUGCGUGGUGUAGCGGUGAAAUGCAUAGAUAUCACGCAGAACUCCGAUUGCGAAGGCAGCAUACCGGCGCUCAACUGACGCUCAUGCACGAAAGUGUGGGUAUCGAACAGGAUUAGAUACCCUGGUAGUCCACACAGUAAACGAUGAAUACUAAUUGUUCGGGGAGAAUGAUCCCUGAGUGAUACAGCGAAAGCGUUAAGUAUUCCACCUGGGGAGUACGCCGGCAACGGUGAAACUCAAAGGAAUUGACGGGGGCCCGCACAAGCGGAGGA